rfam:Vigna angularis cultivar Jingnong 6 chromosome 7, whole genome shotgun sequence.
GCUGGAAUUGCUCACUUGGUUAGAGCGCGUGGCUCUUAACUACAAGAUCGGAUGUCCAGUCCCUACUUCUAGCG